ensembl:misc_RNA 7SK 7SK RNA
GGAUGUGAGGGUGAUCUGGCUGCGACAUCUGUCACCCCAUUGAUCGCCAGGGUUGAUUCGGCUGAUCUGGCUGGCUAGGCGGGCGUUCCUUCCUCCCUCACUCCUCCAUGUGAGUCCCUCCUGAAGCCGAGUGCUCUGUUUAAGAGGAGGAUCACCCGCGAUAGAGGAGGAUCGUUUCCUUGGUCAGGGGUAUACAAGGAGCUGUGCUCCCCUGCUAGAACCUUCAAACAAGCUCUCAAGAUUAUAAAAAAAAUGGCAAUGGUUAACAAUAAUUUUAUGAUUGGGCCCGGGCUUUAGCUCAGUGGUGCCGCCGCCUGCCUUG